UAGUUUUCUCAUUCCUGCCAUCC
rnacentral:siRNA from 1 species